CCCAGGAGACACAACACGCCCACCGACACGACACCGCGGAUGCACGUGUGUCCAUCCGCCCACUGCGGCCCCUUCGUGCAAUCCGCGUACACCCGUAGCACCCAUGCGCACGUGUCUGCAUAUUCUCCAGCAACGCGGAUGCACCACACAUAGCACACAUGCCUAAUAGGAACCUGUGUACAGGCACAGGCGAAAGGGCACAGCCAGGAAGUCUGGGAUUCUACUCUCAUCUCUCCACCCCUUCACGCCUCGGCGAAGUUACUUCUUAGUCUCUGAGUUUCAGUUUCCGUUUGUCAAAUGACAGGGUGCGACUUCUUCUUGCCACCCUACUCCCUGCCAGUUGACAAACACAGGCACAGAGCUCCUGACCCCAGCGGGGGGCUCCGUCCAUUGUACCAGCUCUUCCGUGGCUCCCACUGGUCCCUGGAGAAAGUCCAAGCCCCUUCUUUGCCCUCGUCACCUUGCAUCAGGAGUGCCAGUUUGCAAAGACAGGAGAUGCUUGGAGGUGUGACCAGGGGAGGAGGAAGAGGGCUGCAGAGCCCAAAAGUGCCUGACACCUUGCCGGUGUGGAGGGUUCUAGAUGUCAGAAGACUAAAAUGGGUCCGCGGGGCCGUGUAUCUUCUGGGGCCUCUAGGCGCAAAUCUGUUUCCUUGCCCUUUGGAGCUUCUGGAAGCCGCCUGCAUGGCUUGACCUGUGGCCCCUUCCUCCAUCUUCAAAGAUGAAUGCGGUACGCUCCGGGACAGCCUCACAGAGCAUCUCCUUGGCACUUAAGGUCAUCUCCUCCAUCUCCUCAACUUCGAGCUGGCCCACACUUCACAUGCUUAGGAAGAGAGCCCCGGAUGUUUGGAGAAGGUGCCUGCCUGGGCAGUCGCCUGGAGCUGGAGGCCAGACUGACUCUGGUCGAGGAGUGGGCCCAGCUCCUGGCACCUGCAUAUAAUCCUUCUUUCUUCCUUGCUAAAGGCCAGGGUUGUGUGGCUAAGGGAGGCCGGGGGCAGGAAAGGCUGGACCUCCAGCAGUGGCAGCAGCCUUCAAAGACCAUAUUGUUAGCUCUGAACUGCAGUGGGGAAGGUGCCAGGGUCUGGCUGAAUGAAGCAUCUGUGAUCUCUGGGUCAGGGACUCUCCUGGGUCAUACCUCCCACCCUCACCUCUGCCUGUACGUUUGGCUUCCUUAGCAUCCCUUGUACUGUCCCCAGAGACCACAGCUGCCUCACUGUGCCAUUGGCUGUUGGAUGGUGGCCUCUCCUGUUAGAAUCUAAGCUCUGAGAAGGCCAGAAGCUGUCUGUCUUGAGCACCACCAAGGCCCAGAACCCAGCCCAGGGCUCGGCUCAGAGAAGUUGUUCCAUAAUUGCGUGGAAUGAAUGAAUGAAUGAAUGAAGAAACGAAUGAAUAAAUGGGAGACUGUUGCCAUUCUUGCUUCAUCUGGUCACCUUUUCCCCCAGACCCUUGCACCAGCUUCCUCACUAGUUUCCCUGCUCUGGUCCCUCCACCACACCCUCCCCUAGCAUCUAGUUAAAACCCUCCAGAAGCUCCCUGAGACUCUCAGGAUCCAGCCAAGCUGCUGCCAGCCUCAUUAGGCAUUCACCCACCCAUUCUCUUCCCUGCUCCUGCACUACCCCCUUGAACAUACCAAAUACCUCCCAGCCUGUGUGCCCUUGCAUCGAGGGUUCCUAAGCCCAGAUUGUCCUUUCUCCUCUUCUCCCCAACUGGGUGACUUCUAUUCAUGGUUCAGGAGACAAGCUCCUCCAGGAAGCCUGCCUGACUACCCCCAGCCUCCUCUGGGCUCCCAGAGCCUCCCCACUCCACUCCACGCUUCUCACCACCUCAGCACCAGUUGUAUUUGCCCGUUAUAACACCUCUGUCCCCUUCUCCAGACCUUGAGCUCCUCAAAAGCAGGCACUGAGUCUGACCCAUGUUUUUGUCAUAGCAAGAGCCCUGGACGUGGUCAGGCCAGAGCAAAUGCUCAGCAAAGGUAUAAACUCAGACCCAAGACAGUGAGGGGCCUGAGGCCAAACUAGUGGGGCGUUUCUGCCCUCUUGUGGCCAUUUUGGAUCACUGUGCUUUACUGUAUCCUGUUCAUGAGUUUCUCUAGGGUAAAGGACUGAGUCCAGGAACAGUGGUUUUCAGAAUGUGGCCCCAAGACCACAGCAUCAGUAUCACCCUGGAACUUGUUAGAAAUGAAAGUUUUUAACUGGGGCGCCUGGAUGUCUCAGUCAGUGAAGCAUGAGACUCUUGAUCCCCAUGUUGGGCAUAAAGUUUAAAGAAAGA